rnacentral:rRNA from 1 species
GACGAACGCUGGCGGCGUGCUUAACACAUGCGAGUCGUACGGUAAGGCCCUUUCGGGGGUACACGAGUGGCGCACGGGUGAGUAACACGUGAGUAACCUGCCCACAACUUUGGGAUAACGCUAGGAAACUGGUGCUAAUACUGGAUAUGUGCUCCUGCUGCAUGGUGGGGGUUGGAAAGCUCCGGCGGUUGUGGAUGGACUCGCGGCCUAUCAGCUUGUUGGUGGGGUAGUGGCCUACCAAGGCGGCGACGGGUAGCCGGCCUGAGAGGGUGACCGGCCACAUUGGGACUGAGAUACGGCCCAGACUCCUACGGGAGGCAGCAGUGGGGAAUAUUGCACAAUGGGCGCAAGCCUGAUGCAGCAACGCCGCGUGCGGGAGGACGGCCUUCGGGUUGUAAACCGCUUUCAGCAGGGACGAAGCUUUUUGUGACGGUACCUGCAGAAGAAGCACCGGCUAACUACGUG